CUAAUUUUAAUUUCUUAUUCUUCUGAAUUGUAAGAUAGUUUUAACUUUAAGCCCUACAACACCGGGAAGUGCACGGCCACCAUUCCCGCCGUGACCUUCAAGGACAACAAAUGUCUUUACUUUAUGUAUGCUGUUACCGUUUCCGAGAUCUCAGCGCUUAUACGGACAGACGGACACCUGAUCCUGUUCUAGGAAACGCUUCCUUCUACUUGUUACAUACGACGAAUCUAGUUUACUCUACGAGUAAUGGGUAUACAAAUUUAUAUUUAUACCCUUAAAGAGGGCAUAAUGAUUUUAAUUAAAAAUUAAAAAUAAAUUUGCUAACAUUCUUGGACUUUA